AAAGGAGAUGCCAUUUUAAAAGCUGAUACAAUCCUAAAACUGAAGAUCAGAAGACUAGGUCAUAGCAUUCUCCAUCCCAUCCUUGUUUCCUCGGUUGAUGGAUUGUCCUUGCUGAAUAUUCACGAUACCAUGACUAACUAUUCUUGAAUGUUUACAAGAAUAUAAUUUUAUUACUGCCUUUGGGAGGCUAGUUUACAUUCUUAUUGUAAAAUUUCUUCUUGAUUAAUUUUAAUAGUCCUAUAAGUGAAUUUUGCUCCUUAUUACCAGUUUACCUUUUACCACUACUCUUAAUGGAUUUUAAUCCUUGUCAUACAUUUGCAAACACUAAUAUCAUGGGUUAACCUAUAUUUUUUUUUUCAAGGAAAAAUUUCAAGAACUACUGUGUUUUCUGCAUAUGUAUCAAGAAGAAUGCUUUCAUAUCACAUCCAUUAUUGAAAGAUUCAUUCAUCACUGUGCUGAGAGGAUUACAGAUACCUCCUGAAAAUCACAAACUCAUUGAGUUUGCCACUAGAUGUCUGUCACUACAGUAUGCACCAGAAUUCAGAGUUCAUACAUUGGAGAAUUCUGUGAUGUCCAGGGUUCUACAUCACUAAUAGGUUCUGAGGAGUUGUGAGCAAAUUUACUAAGUGUCUUUCCUGUUGGUUCAACGUGGGUUCUCACAAAUGACCUGAUUCUACAGCAAAUAUCUAUUACCUCUUGGUGUCUGUUAUCUACUGACCUAUUUCUCUAGGGGCCACUCCUUUUCUAUCUUCUCAUGUUGUUGAGGUGUUUAGUGGCUUCUAUUUCUGACCUCAUUUGCAAGAGAAGUGGAACAACUUAGAAAACCUAAAGCAGUCUCUAGAGAGUUGAAAGCAGACUGGUGAAUGACAUCAUAACUCCAGUGAAGGGAUUCAACAAAGGUGGGACCCAGACCAGCCGAAACUGUGAAUCAGCCAUCUAAUCAUGUCCACCAUCUAUCUCUAGAGGAAGGAAUUUAGUGGAUACA
rnacentral:lncRNA from 1 species